AUUGAACGCUGGCGGCAUGCCUUACACAUGCAAGUCGAACGGCAGCACGGGUGCUUGCACCUGGUGGCGAGUGGCGAACGGGUGAGUAAUAUAUCGGAACGUGCCCUAGAGUGGGGGAUAACGUAGCGAAAGUUACGCUAAUACCGCAUACGAUCUACGGAUGAAAGUGGGGGAUCGCAAGACCUCAUGCUCCUGGAGCGGCCGAUAUCUGAUUAGCUAGUUGGUGGGGUAAAAGCCUACCAAGGCGACGGUCAGUAGCUGGUCUGAGAGGACGACCAGCCACACUGGGACUGAGACACGGCCCAGACUCCUACGGGAGGCAGCAGUGGGGAAUUUUGGACAAUGGGGGAAACCCUGAUCCAGCAAUGCCGCGUGUGCGAAGGAGGCCUUCGGGUUGUAAAGCACUUUUGUCAGGAACGAAACGGUGGGGGCUAAUACCUCCUGCUAAUGACGGUACCUGAAGAAUAAGCACCGGCUAACUACGUGCCAGCAGCCGCGGUAA
rnacentral:rRNA from 1 species